UACCCCGAACAAUAAAGCAUACGCCGGU
rnacentral:piRNA from 1 species